rnacentral:rRNA from 1 species
UAUCAUGCAAGUCGAGCGCAGGAAGCCGUUCUGAACCCUCCGGGGGGACGAACCGUGGAAUGAGCGGCGGACGGGUGAGUAACACGUAAAGAACCUGCCCAUAGGUCUGGGAUAACCACGAGAAAUCGGGGCUAAUACCGGAUGUGUCAUCGGACCGCAUGGUCCGCUGAUGAAAGGCGCUUCGGCGUCGCCCAUGGAUGGCUUUGCGGUGCAUUAGCUAGUUGGUGGGGUAAUGGCCCACCAAGGCGACGAUGCAUAGCCGACCUGAGAGGGUGAUCGGCCACACUGGGACUGAGACACGGCCCAGACUCCUACGGGAGGCAGCAGUAGGGAAUCUUCCACAAUGGACGAAAGUCUGAUGGAGCAACGCCGCGUGAACGAUGAAGGCUUUCGGGUCGUAAAGUUCUGUUGUAAGGGAAGAACAAGUGCCGCAGGCAAUGGCGGCACCUUGACGGUACCUUGCGAGAAAGCCACGGCUAACUACGUGCCAGCAGCCGCGGUAAUACGUAGGUGGCAAGCGUUGUCCGGAAUUAUUGGGCGUAAAGCGCGCGCAGGCGGCCUCUUAAGUCUGAUGUGAAAGCCCCCGGCUCAACCGGGGAGGGCCAUUGGAAACUGGGAGGCUUGAGUAUAGGAGAGAAGA